UACGGAGGAUGCGAGCGUUAUCCGGAUUUAUUGGGUUUAAAGGGUGCGUAGGCGGAAUGUCAAGUCAGCGGUCAAAUCGCGGGGCUCAACCUCGCUUCGCCGUUGAAACUGGUGUUCUUGAGUGGGCGAGAAGUAUGCGGAAUGCGUGGUGUAGCGGUGAAAUGCAUAGAUAUCACGCAGAACUCCGAUUGCGAAGGCAGCAUACCGGCGCCCAACUGACGCUGAAGCACGAAAGCGUGGGUAUCGAA
rnacentral:rRNA from 1 species